GGCCUCCUUGUGGUUACCACAGGCUAUGUUCUUACACUGUAUAGAAAGAGGAGGCAGAAAGAGGAGAUGU